rnacentral:lncRNA from 1 species
AACUGCCACACUCAUAAUGGAUACUUAAAUUAGUCCUAACGAGUCCUUAACUAAUUAUCAUUAAAUCUGUUAAUGAACGAUACAUCCCAGAGACGAAAUUUAAGUUUUCAUUAGUUAAUGACAGCUUUAAGUAUCCGUAGGGCAGAGUAUCGUCAAAUUGUCUUUGAUAAUGCUUAUCGAUAAACGAAAGGUGUAGCCGCACCUUAAAAUGUGAAAUUAUUAAGUAGCAAAAACUGUUAUUUAAAUACAUUAAAACCUUGUAUAUCAACAAUAGAAAUAAGAAUUUGUUAAUUUCGGCAUCGUUUUUACGUAAAAACACCUAUUUUCAUGUAAAUGAUAUAAAGUACAUGGAAACUUUUUUCUGGUAUCACUGUCAAUAUUGUACUGUCAGUGUCAAGGUUACGUUUAAAAUUCUUGAAACGUUAACCGUCAGGAAAGAAAAGUGUGAGGAAAAGUGUGAUAAGCUCUGAAAUAAAUAGCUUUAUCUUAACAUAUUAUCAUGGAGUCUUCAGGAACAAGAGCCCCACGCAAACGUGAGGCUAAUUUCACGGCGGACGAAAAAGCUUUGUUAGCACAAUUAGUUAAAAAGAGACCAAUCGUGGCAUCUUAAAUAACAGAUGGCAAGUCAGUCGCCCAGAAACAAGCAGCAUGGGAUAGUAUAAUACAGGAGUUCAAUCAGGAAUCAAUCACCAACUUCCAGACUACGGGCUGCUUUGUGAAAGGUUAAGAAAACCCACAGCAGCCGCGCUUGCGACCACUAGAUCAACGAGGAAGUCAAAUAAACUUUGUACUAUAUAAUUGGCCUCUUGUUCAACAAUUAAAAAAGUAUUCUUCUUA